CCAAUUCAUUUUUCGCUGAAACAACCCUAAACAAAUGUCCAAACCAAAAUUUUGAAGCCGCUACCACCAUUGUCUCACAUAGCUCGCAACCAUAAUUUUUGGCCAUUUUCUCAGGUAACCCUAACCCAUCUCUCUCCACCACUCUUAUCUGUGAUUUUCUUGGGUUGUCAAUGCUAAACUUUUGUUGGUGUCCCAAUCUACUCCUUGAAACUUAUCUUAGUUCUCUCUCCUCAUAUAGGUUUCAAGAUGGUUACAUGCUUUAUUUCUCUUGGCAAAUAAUCUAAUUUUCAGGUAUUCAAACACUAAGGUUAAAUCUAUUUAUGAAUUGGGAUGUCCAUGAAAAUUUAUAAUUUGGGAAUAAAAUUUUAAUGUUCUUGCUAAGUCCUGAUUUGUGAUCUACCACUUCUGAUAAAUUUAUAAGCAAUUGACUGAAUUGAUAUCUCUAAUUUUGCUACUGUAAUAUGUUUGGAUAUUCAACUCCUCGUGAAUGUUCAGAUGUUUUUGGAGUGUUGCUGAUAAAAUAUUGAUAUUUUUAAUUUAAUCUACAAUACUGAAAUCUCUCUUUGAUUGAGAUUUUUGUUAAUUGUAUGAAAAUUUCAAUACAAACUGAAUUUUGAAGUGAUUGAUUUGUGAAUUUUAUUCUAACUGAAGUUAUUUAUAAACAUCAAUACCAAUUUCUUUAGGAAUUCCCAUCCAAACUCCCAUUCCUUUUCAAAAUAUUCUCAACACUAAUUAUAAAUUCAAGAAUCCAAAUUGACAAACCAGGGUGAAAUUGUCUAAGAGAAGAAGAAGAUAUUUGAACAGGAUCACUUUCCUUACAAAAGAAUUGACUAUAAGUUUGAAGUUUCAGUUCAUGUUGACUUCUCAUUUAUACUGAAAAAAAAGGAUCAAAUAUGGGGAAUAAUAACAUAACUAGAUGAGGUUGUAUUUAAAAGUAAAUGUAGCAAAUUUUUGUAGUUUAUGGAUAACCAAGGCCAGCUCAUUAACCAAGAUCCAGUAUUUGUAUUACGAUUCAGAAUAAAGAAGAAAUAUUUCUGAAUUGUUUAUUGUUGUGAAAGGAAAAUCAGUUAUGUACUGCUGAUAACUAAAUUUUAAAUAACUCAAACUAAGUAAGACUAUUAUGGAGGACUAAAACUCAAAUGCAUGACAUAUAUAAUUUUUCUUUUAUUCUUUGACGUUUUUAUGGAGGAUUUAUUCUAAAGUGAAGUUCUUGAUAGUAGACAGACCAAAGAGAUGAAUAGUAAAAGUUCUUGAUGGGAUGUAGAGCAAAGAGGUAUAAAGUAAAAGGUAUUUCUAGGAUGCAACCACACAGAGCCACAAAUAGGAAAUGGUUUUUUUUACUUUUAAGAGAGCUGAUUCUUUGUGUAGCAGUUUUUGAUAUUGCUUUUUUCUUGUGUGAUAUAUACAUUGUACUUUGCAUUACUUGAUACCUUAUCUUGUCAAGUAAAUUAUGGAAUAUGCACAACAUACAUUUUGUGGGGGCGCACAUGCAUGACAGAUGUUUGAGCAAGAGCAGUAACUCAAAAGUUACUUUGACAAUCAUCAUAAUCAAAGAUUAAAUUUUAACCGUUACUCAAAAAUAUCUUGAAGUUCAAAACUGAAAUAGUUAAAUGACUUUGAACACUUGAAACUUAGAAGCUGUGAAAAAAUUGUAUAAGCUUGUAUUACAAACAUAAUAUAUUUUUUUCUUCCUUUGUUCUAUUCAUGUGUAUGUCUGCACAAUUGAGAAUAGAGCAAAACUAGGAGAUUUCUUUUAUGAUAUUGGAAAUAAAACUAUUCAAAGUACAACUGUUGCAAUUAUAUUCUACGUGAUUAUAGAAUAUUCUAGGUGUUUUAGUUCUUUAAAUAAGUUUCCAGGCUCAUUCCUCAAUGAUAUUUUUUCUAAUUAUCAAUUCUUCAUAGCAUUUCUUAAUUGUAAGCAUUACAUUCCUUUGUUCCCUAUUUGCCAUUGUGUUGUUGUUGGAUUUAAAAAUUCAAUAUUCUUGUUAGUAAGUUUAUCAUAGAUUCUACUUCCUGUUAUGAAAAUUCUUUCUGAAGUUAAUAGUCUAUGUGUCGUUCUCCCUUAGCUGCUUAAUAGUAGCUUAUGUAGCACAAGCAAAACUAAACAAAUUUGGGAAUUCCUCUUUUAGAGUUGUGCUGCCCAGUCACUUGUCCAACCAAAAUAGUGUGUUCUCACCAUCACAUAAUCAUUGAUAGUUGUAAAUUCAAUAUCUCAACUUAUGAAUCAGUUACUUAGAAUUAAGCUAAGUUUGAUGAUAAAAGUACUAAAGAGAUAAGUUAGUGGAUAAGGUCAUUACCGAGUGUAUAUAAUUCAGGUUAACUGAAAUAGUUGUUGCAAUUAUUUAUUUGAUUUAAAGAAAAUAGCUUGACAUUCUUCUUCCUUAUGUGAGGUUAGUACUUCCAGCUUUACAUAUGUUUUGUUUUUCUUUAUAUGAUUUCUCAACUGCUUUUCAAUUUUAUUUACAACACAAAAUUUAAUAUACUUGGAAGCCAUCUUGUUAUUAAAUUGGUAGUAAAAAUAAAGACUGCCAGGCUUUCUCCGAGAUAUAUAUGUGUUUCUAAAAUUCAUUUAAGCAAUACGAAAUAUAUCAUGAUAAAAUAUGAGUAACAGUUGCUAACAAAUAUUAAUGACCGGACAUGUUUCAAUUCUUAAUAACUUGUAUGUUUCAUCCUUGAGCUGUAACAUAUUGGUGCCUGUGAUUGUUGUUGUGAAUUAACAUAUUUAAUUGUUAAAAGAUGGAGACUGAGUACACAGGGGUUGUGGAAACCUAUGUUGCUCGGACUCUUCAAAAAUGUCAACGGAUUUAUGUCGGAUCCUCCAAAAGUAGUGCAUUUUUUAAUGAUCAGACACGGUGCGACAACAGUUUUGGGGAGUCCAAGCAACUUAGAUGGGAGCAACUUACUCUAAUUUGCUUCAUGAUUUGACCUCGUUGACUCAAAUACAUUGCAAAUUCUUACUGGUUAAUGCUCUUAAACCUUUUUUUAUUGAUUAAACAAGUACUUUUAAAUUGGAAACAUUAUAAGAGUUCCUUCGUGAAUAUGACCCCUGCUGAAAGAAUUUGUCAUGUAAUGCUAGUUAUUAGAUGACAUAUAUUCUAUUGUGAAGGUUCUAACGUAUCUCAAUUAACAUGUAAACGAGACUUUGGCUUAAUAUAGAUAUAUGUAGGAAAUAAUAGAUUAACUGAAGGCUCUUCAUUCCUAUAGCAUGUAAAAGUCAUUACCUCAAUAUAUGAACAAGUUUGUGACAGUGUUAUCCUUUGAAUGAUCUAAAUAUUAUUUUUGUUUUCCGUUGUUCUAUGGUGAUACUGUUUUAUUUAAAAGAUAUCAGAUCAUAUCUCAGGUGUUUAAUGCAUAGAAGCACUUGUCCUAACAUCACUAGAAAAGAAACAUAAUGAUUACAAGUGCGAUAAAAAAGGUCAUUAUAUGGAAAAAUAUAGGAUUACAGAUAAUUUGCUAAAAAAUAUACCAAGUCUUAUACUGAGGGAUCAAUGGAGUGAUCUUGUCUUUUUAUUUUUAAUAAAACUAAGGUUUCAAUAAAGCUUGAAAACAUACUUCUAGUUGCAUAUUUUUAUUGAUUUUUUAUUUUAGUUUUGCUCAUUUUUUAUAAUUCAUAUCAUUUUUUGAGGUAUUACUCAUUUUUACUCUUUGAUUUUACUGUUUGAAUUUUCUAUGUGCAAUAACCAACUUUCUAAAGCUGCUUUUAAGCUCACGAUUUUUUAUUAAUGUUGAAAUAGUUUAUAAAUAGGCAGUAAGUAGUCAUCUGAAUACAACUUCAACAUUUAAUUUAAUUCACGAUUAGAAUAUACUCACACACUAGUUUCUACAAAGAGGAUAAUAUCUAAAUCAUUGAGACAAAAGGCUUAUUUUUGUUUCCAUAAAAAUUUGUAUCAUGUGCAGCUAUGCACAAUAGAGUUAAGGGACAUUUAAUAGCUUGAAAUUUUGUGGUAGAGAUUGAAUAUUUGUUGCUGUGAUUUCUUGCAUUUAUUUGGAACCAUACCUGUCAUUUUGUGUUAAUUUGGGUUGUUGAUUCGUCAUCUUAUUUUGCUUCAUUAGUCCUGCCUAUUUACAAAGUCAGGUUGUUUAUGAAGCAAUUAAAGGUAAACAUUUGUGAUUAAUAUUACUUAUUCUUAUCCUUUGGUGCUACUAUUUGAGUUUUCCUCAUUCCUUUGGCUCGCUGCAAGAAUACAACCUGACAGCAGUAAAAGACAUUAGAAGCAGCAGUAACACAUUCAAGCAGAUAGUUUAAUAUCUAGUAUUAACCAUGAAAAAUAAUAACAUUUAGAUAAAGUGCAUGAAAAUUAGAGACCUAAGUAUGACUAACAACUGUGUGUAAUAUUUAUCUAAUUUGAAACGAUAAGCACGGAAGUCAAGUGUCUAACUGACUACAUAGUGACAUGCCACCUCUUUUGUUCAGUACUUCUUAUUUUACUCUACUGGUGUCGAAUUGGUAUUUUAUUUGCAUUUCUCCUAAGAUUUUCUGUAAUUUCAUGGUUAGUAUAUACCUGAUAGUAGCAUGUAGUUAAAUCCUGCUUCUCUUUUGAGAGAUAAGUUUUUGUUCCAAAUUGCUUAUUAUUAUUAUCUAGUGGUUUUUUUCUGUUUCAAAUAAUAUACCUCUUCUGACCCUAAUCAAUUGAUAUAGGAAGAGCUUGAGGUCAUUGUGAUUGGUGUUGGUGAGUUUAUUGUAAUCUAUAGUUGUGAUAUGAUAUAGCCACUAACUCACCAUAUUUUUAUAUAUUACAUUUCAUUUUUUGACACAUUUAUUUUAUUAUUUUAGGUCAUAGAGCUUGAUGUUCAAAAAAUUUCCUUGUAGAAGAUUUCAAUAUAAACCAGAGUUGUGGAAAUUAUUUGAAGACAUCAUUUGACAUGAUCAGUUGUAUAAUAACAUUAGUUAUUGUGACACUAUAUUUUGGAUUAGUACUUUGUUUUAUUUGUGUGGGUUUGAUGGGAUGUAUUAUGUUUUAUGAAUUAAUAAAAAUAUAUAUAUUAGCAUUUAUCAAACUUCUUUGACGCUAAGCUCUCUUUUACUAUUUUUUUGUUGGAUUUAUUAGUUAUAACUAUUAUCAGCAAAGUGAAAACUAGAUCAUUUUUUGGACGAAUGUAGUAGCAAUAAUAAAUGGUGGUUAAGCAAUUAUUGCAAUUAUUCUCCAUAAAAUGGACGUUGAAGAGGAAAAUUAAGAGGUUUUUGUGAGGGAUAUUGUAGCCAUUCUACAUUUCCACAAAAUAAUUGCCACUAAAACUAAUUUUAGCGGAAAUUUAAUUUAAUUUAAUAAAUAUAUAAAUGGACACUAAAAAAGUAUAGUUAACCAUUAGAAAUUGAAUUUUGCAACCAAAUUAAUUUCCACAAACCAUUGCCAUUAAAAGACAUGAUUAUUAUUGGCAAUAAAUAAUAGCCUUUACCAACAUUUUUGAAAAAAGCCGCGAAAGCCCUUAGUGACCCUGACAUCACCGACUAAAUAUCAAUGGCCGGUAAAGAAUAUAGUGGUGAAUGUUAUUGCCGCUAAAGCCCCUAUUUGUAGUAGUGCUAGUUAUAUUGUUGGAAAGUUGGUACCUUAGUGAUUGUGAAAAGUGUAUGUUGGGUGUCUAUUGGUUGAUCUAUGUCAUAUCUUGAUCCGCAUGAGUUAGCUUGUUGAGUCUGAACGAAAAGGUUUGCACUAAAUAAGGGAUUUGGGAUAGAAUGCCAUGUGAUUGCUUGAGUUUGAAUGUCUAUUUCUACACAGGUGUAGUAUAGAGUUUUAGUGCGUCUCUUGAGGACAAACAAUGAGUUUAAGUUGAGGGUGUUGAUAUACCGUGAGUUUACGAUAUUUUUGAUACAUUUCAGUUAGAAGGUGUGUGUGUCUAGAGAGAUAUUGUGUUAGAAUUAAUGUUUAUUUAUUAUGUUUGCAAUAAAUAGGCCUAGACACAGUCAACGGAGACGAAAGCUAAAAUUUUGCAGAAGGAGCCACCC
rnacentral:lncRNA from 1 species